rnacentral:lncRNA from 1 species
AGCAAGCCGGCGACCUUAAAAGGAAACAGAAUGUAGCCCUCUCUCUCACUACAUUGCUAUUGGGUAUUCAAUAUCAGUCCUGCUGGAUACCCUGAUUGCUGAGAGGGCCUCAGUCAGAACUUUGUAGGCUGACUUCUCCAAGAAGGCACUCUUGGAAACGGUAACGGUGCCUGAAGCCAAUGAAUCAGAGACUGCUCACUUUAUCUUCUCCCGGGAGUCUUCAUCUAAAGAAUGAAGUAACAACCCAAAAGACAAGACUGCAGAGCACUGAGAACUUGCUGGAAUGCUAGCACUCCACAGAUGGCUCUGUUCCAUUCAUUGAGAAGAUAGUUUCUUUAAAUUGUUAUAUCUAUACAUUUCUGUAUCCCACUGUUUUCAAAGAGUCAAGAAUGUAUAAUCCCAAUAAUAAACUUGAAAAUAAAUCUUCUUGGAAGAAAAAAACCUGUUAUUUUUGUUUUAAUUUUUAAUUAGUA